AUCACAGCAUUUGAUUUCAUUUUACAGUGGACGUAUUAUUUUUCAACAAUUCUAUGCAAGCGCACAUGUUGUAACAUGUUGCUUGGCUAUUGUUUUAGGGUUUCUCGGUUGCACAAAUAUCACCAAAGGUGCCCGCUUGAUAUGCAUUUUAGAUAGUGUAUAAGAGCAUACCAAAACGUUUCUAACCGCUAAGAGCAACUCUAACAUAGACCCAUAUCAGCCAGCUAGCCUUCAUAUUUGGCGGCUGGACGAGGCGAUAUAACGAGCCCUCCAUCCAUCCAAGUAUUGGUACCACAGACAUUUCACAUUUCAGGAGAUACACUUUCUUUAGCCGCCGCCAUUUGCUGUUACCCCCGCUGCCCGUACCGCUAUGAGCCGUUCGUGGACUUCCCAUACUUCGCUGCAGCCCCACAACUAUCUCUCGCCAUCUGGUCGUGCCACUCCUUCCACCGCUCGAUCUCAAGGUGUUCGACGACUUACCCCGAGGGGCGAAGAUGGCGAAGUAUUCACUGCAUCAUGGGCCUGGUGGGAGGACUAAUAAGGCAGUGGAAGAUACUGUGUUCACCGCCCAGGGUGCGCUACUUCUCCAGUGUUUAAGGCUCUUGGAUCGACGAAGAGGGGAAUUGCUUAGAAUAGCCUGGCGUGGGAACUAAAACAGAAGACUGAAGUUUGCAGAUUUUGGAGCUUGUUGGAUGUUAUCUUUUACUGCUCUUCAGCCUCUGUCCUCUAGAUAUAUGUAUCGCGUUGGUAGUUUGUCCCUUCAACUACUGUGUAAUAGGGAUAGGUUUGGACCCUUUUAUCUGUAACAGCUACUUUGGUUGCUGCCGAGCGCUGUACAAUGUCCUGAUUUGUGGUGAUCUUGCCUUUGCUUUUUAAUAAAAGUUGGGGCAGGGGGAGAAACCCCUUUCAUUCAAAAAAAAGAAAGGUUACCAAAAGCAUGAACUACAUACAAUAUCUGGCCAUUAAUACAAUGCACAAAUACCAGAUGAACAUCAAGCAGAGAAAAUGGGCGACCAUCCAAAGCAGUA